GUCCCCCCCCCCCCCCCCCCCCACACACACCUCUCCUCUGCUUCUGGUUUACAUUCCCCAUUUUUCCCUCUGACUGUGACUUUAGUUGAUCAUUUAGUUAUGGCAUAUAGCUCGUGUCUCUCUGGAACUGAUCCCUGGCUCUGCUUCUGGUUUACAUCUUUAGUUUACUUUCUGCCUCUGGCAUUUGGCUUCUGUCCCUCCACUACUGACCCUUGACUUAUUUCCUGAGACUCUGCCCACCAUGGACCGAGCUGUAACUGGUAGCCUGAAUUCUUCCUUCACCUGCUCAUGGCCUUGUCAGCUACAAGUAGUAAUGCAUAACUGAGGUUUAUAAAAUGUUUUGACAUUUGCAAAUGAAAGAGGCUGUUAUGUAUGUGUAGUAUUAUUGUUAGUUUAUCACAUUUUAUAUUAUAUGCGCAAAACUUUUAAAAAGUAGCAGCAACAAAAGCCUGUCAUUUUCACCAGAACAAAAUAUUGCAAUAGAAAAGAAAGGAAAAAUUAAAAUGACAGAAUCCACUGAAAGAAAAAGACAUAAUGAAGACAUCUGGCUCUGUGCUGAUAAAAGCUCUCGCAGCCCCUAUCCCAUCAUCCCUUGCAGAGCUCAUCUGAAAGCGUAUCUAUCAAGGGUUUCCAAAAUUAAGAAAAACAUCUGUCUGUGUCUAACUGUGUUUGACCAACUGUUAAAAACAAAACAAAAUGUGUUUCAGUGUUAAAAUUCUCAGAAAGGUAACCAUUUCUCAAACAAAAAGUCUGAGAGGAUUCAUCUGCCAGUUGAGUAAUAAACAGACGGGUGCCAUCAACAAUAUCAGGGGUGACCUGCAAAUGCAUAUUAAGCUCUCUAUUUCCCCUGCUGUCUCACAUAACCUUCUCUUCUUUUUUACAGCACAGUCUGCCUGAGAAUUUACUCCCUUGAGAAGUUAAUAUCCCUCCUGGAACCUUUAGCUCCUUAUAUAAGCUGUCUCUAUAGCUUUAUGGGCAGCAUCUUGCGCCUCACUCAGAAAUCUGGGAGUUCAGUUCCAUACUAGGCUUGGCUUCAGUAUUAUGUGCUAUCACUGCAGUGUGGUAUUUGGAGUGGGGGGUGAUGAUUGCUGCUGCCUUCUUAAAUGUGCCUUUCCUCUGAGCAAACUUUGAACUGAACUCCCUUUGUCUCCUGCAGCAGUGGCAGAUCCUAUGGAAUAUUGCAAAGAGAACCAGGGAUAGGGCAUGCUGACUAAGACAUGCUCUAAAUCCUGCUCCUUCCUCCAUGGGUUCAGCGGGCCAUACCUAAAGCAGCAAUGAAUCAGUGCCUUUCAGGGGGCAAGAAACAGAAUUUUUAGAGACUGUAGCCAGAGGUUAUGCGGACACCCAGCAUCCCUACAGAAUCCAGCUUCAUAAGGGUGCCCACACAACCAUAUGCAGUGGGUAUUUGGAUGAAACAGUAACAAUUGUUCUGUUGUUGCACAGAACACUCCAGUGUUGACCCCACAUAUGCAGGGCUACAAAGGCUUCUGUAGUAGCACCAAGGGAGAAGUGGAGGCAUAUGUAGAGGCGGAAGAUCUCCUCCCUCAGCUACCAUGGACAACCCCAAUGGCCAGCCCAGUUAUCCAGGCUGGGCACUGAGAACAGCAACCAAUUGUGAUAUCACAAACACUCGUAGGGAUUCAUGUGGGGGAAAAAGCUGCAGAAACAGGUGAACUCUGAAGAGCCAAAGAGUGCAUUUUUAUGCAAAUACUUUUAUUAAUAAAGAAAAAGGAGCAACAAACAGAAAUAUAGGAGAUAGCAGCAGACUUCUUUCUAAACAGAAUGUGUUUCAUCCUUGAUGUCACCGGCUCUUACAGAAAUGGUUUUCACUAUUGAGAGAACCUGCUCAACUGGGAAUCCACACUUAACAAAGAUACAUGAGGGUUGUUGACUGGUGACCCAACUUGACAUUGGAAGGCAAAUGGUUUUGGCUGUGCCCACUGCAGUGGCCAUGAAAAUCCACUUCUCACCUUGCCCCAAGCUACUGUGGUGAGAGAGGUAGUGGGUUGUCUUCUCUCUGCGGGGAAGCCUGUAUACUGAACCCUAUUCCAGUAGAAUGAUUUAAAUGAAGAAAAACAAAAACUUAUUUGACUUAAGGACCCAAGGAGUGUGAGAAUGAGAAGCUUUUGGUAUCCCAAGAGGAGGCUUUAUCACUGGAUUCAUCAUUGCAUAUGUAUCACUGAAAAGAAUUAUUGAAUUCUUCGACAUUUCUGCCGCUGUAUUUCACAAUGUACAAAAAUAAUAAUUUAAACUGCAUCAGAGACUGUAGAAUACAUGAGCUUCUUCAUAAAAAGCACAAAUUGCAGAUGAAUAUAUUUAUUUGAAAUUAUCUGAGUUUAUUUUUGCCACAUUGGAGCUAAUUAACUAAAUUGAAAUUAGGAUGUAAUUUGUAACAGCAUUUUGGUUUUUUGGCUGAAAUAGAGUAAAAGAAUGAGCAACGGGGCUGUAAAGGAUUAUAGGAUGUGAGAUCAUGUAGAAAAAGAAUGGAUACAAUUUGGGAUUUAAAGAAAAAAAUUCAAGAACUAAUUACUUAUAUUACAGUAGUGUCUUGAAAGGUGACAGCCAAGACUGGAGACUCAUUGUGUUAAGAUAGUAGUUCUCAAAUUUUUCUAUACAAUAGUGCCCUGCUUAGCACAAUGACUUCCAACUUGCCCAUAUUUCAAUCCAAUUAACAUGGGAAGAGAGGAGUGGCAAACUGCCCCUGCCCCUCCCCCUCCGCUCCUGUUUGUCUAUUUUAUAGGCCAUAUCCCCACCUUGAAUUCCUUUGUUAAACACUGUACAAAUUUAAAGUAAAAGACUGGGGACUGAAGCACUCAGUGAUUUCCCCUGUUACAAAGCAAGUCUGUGCCAGACUUAAGAAAUGAAUCUCUUGAGUCUUUGUCCAGUGGCUUGAACACAAAACCAUCCUUCCCUCUCUAUUCUAGAUCCCCCCUUAUAGAAUCUGUGCUGGAUCUCAUAUUGUAUGUGCACCCAACAACUCAAGUAGAUUGACUUCGUUAGAGCCUUUGGAGCUUGCUUCCUAUGGAGAACCACGGAAGCCCAAGCAUGGUAACUAUCAGGUCUUGGUGCAAGAUAGAUUUAGACCAGUGGU